GUUUAAAUAGCUUAUAAUUUUAGAGCAUAACACUGAAGAUGUUAGGGAAGAGAGCGUCUCUUGUAAACA
rnacentral:tRNA from 1 species